UUUCCUCCUUUGUGACCUUCGGGUUGCAAGGGGGACACGGUAGCGACACCUGUGUCCCGAACAUGCCUCGACGCUACGUUGUGGCUGUGACGGUCCUCGGGCGAUUGCUAGUACUCUCGGAUUCGGAAUACUACGUGGGUGAGGGGGUCUCUGGCCUCCGAACGCUCGAAAUAGUCCCUUGACACGGAUGACAACACGGGGGCUACGCAAAUCCCUAGCCGAAAGGCGUGCGGGUUUGUGUAGUUCGCGAUGUCCGAAAGGAAUG
rnacentral:misc_RNA from 1 species